GACAAAACGUCGAAAAAAAAAACGAAAAGUAUAACAACACAACCGUUUUCGGAUGUAUCGAGUAGAUUAUUUUUGAGCAAUCGACUUAUUUUUAUUUUUAUAACGGCAUUUGAUACUCUCUUUUUUUUUUUUUUACAAUUUAAUUAGGUCCCUGCGACCAACACGAUUUUUAUUCGUAUAGGAAUUGCCGUCAAAUGCAAAUUAAACAUUAUGUAUACAGUAAAUACCGUCCGUUAGAUAACUUGACCUGACCGAGGAGAGUUAACUCAGCCCUCCUAUAAUAUUUGUAUUUAUUUCCCUCAUUCCACAGUUGACAUUUUAUGCUGUAACCUUUUUCGUGCGAAAGACAAUAAUUAUAAUGUUAUAUUUCACGAAACGGAAAAUUACAAACUAAAAAACAGGAGUAAUUUAAAAAAAAAAAAAAAUUGAAUAUAAGUAUAAUGAAAACGACAAUUCUCACGCGAUA